AACGCGAAAAACCUUACCUACCCUUGACAUGCCUAGAAUCCUGCAGAGAUGUGGGAGUGCUCGAAAGAGAACUAGGACACAGGUGCUGCAUGGCCGUCGUCAGCUCGUGUCGUGAGAUGUUGGGUUAAGUCCCGCAACGAGCGCAACCCUUAUCAUUAGUUGCUACGCAAGGGCACUCUAAUGAGACUGCCGGUGACAAACCGGAGGAAGGUGGGGAUGACGUCAGGUCAUCAUGGCCCUUAUGGGUAGGGCUACACACGUCAUACAAUGGCCGGUACAGAGGGCUGCCAACCCGCGAGGGGGAGCUAAUCUCAGAAAACCGGUCGUAGUCCGGAUCGCAGUCUGCAACUCGACUGCGUGAAGUCGGAAUCGCUAGUAAUCGCGGAUCAGCUUGCCGCGGUGAAUACGUUCCC
rnacentral:rRNA from 1 species